UAGGGAAUCUUCGGCAAUGGACGGAAGUCUGACCGAGCAACGCCGCGUGAGUGAAGAAGGUUUUCGGAUCGUAAAGCUCUGUUGUAAGAGAAGAACGAGUGUGAGAGUGGAAAGUUCACACUGUGACGGUAUCUUACCAGAAAGGGACGGCUAACUACGUGCCAGCAGCCGCGGUAAUACGUAGGUCCCGAGCGUUGUCCGGAUUUAUUGGGCGUAAAGCGAGCGCAGGCGGUUAGAUAAGUCUGAAGUUAAAGGCUGUGGCUUAACCAUAGUAGGCUUUGGAAACUGUUUAACUUGAGUGCAAGAGGGGAGAGUGGAAUUCCAUGUGUAGCGGUGAAAUGCGUAGAUAUAUGGAGGAACACCGGUGGCGAAAGCGGCUCUCUGGCUUGUAACUGGCGCUGAGGCUCGAAAGCGUGGGGAGCAAACAGGAUUAGAUACCCUGGUAGUCCACGCUGUAAACGAUGAGUGCUAGGUGUUAGACCCUUUCCGGGGUUUAGUGCCGUAGCUAACGCAUUAAGCACUCCGCCUGGGGAGUACGACCGCAAGGUUG
rnacentral:rRNA from 1 species